CCUACUCCGUUAAUUUAUUUCCACAAUUUCAUUUUCUGGGAAGAUCGAAUUCUCUCCCUCGACGAUUAGCAAAACAAGAUUACGAUCUUAUGAUAAGUCGAUUCCGCCUGAAACCCCCGAUGUGAUUGUUGGGAUCUUUCACUCACUCGUCGUCGAGAUGGUUAGUAUCGCUUGGAGGAGGAAACCCCACCUGCCUUUUUUUGCUGCCAGAGUUACUUCUCUCUACAUAGCUGGAAGCUUACUCCCAUCGUCAGUUCGUCACCAAGGUAAUUUCUGUGUCUAUGUUUUUAAAAGUUUCUGUCUUUUUGAAGAUGGACUUUCAAAAAGAGCACUAGUCUAAUAGUGUUCUGUCAGAUUAUUUAUUUGGGUAACAUUGUCCCGUAAGGUAUCUUUUGGUUGGUAGUGCGUGCAUGUCUAAAGAAAUAGUUAUGGGGAUGGAGAAUAAAACUUGUACUCUAUUGGUUAGUAGUGCAUGCUUUAAUUGUCGUUAAGACAAAGACUAUAUGUGGAGGGGAUGAGAAAACAAUGACCCACGGCUUUGAAAAACGCCUAAUGGCUUAAAUAAGAAGAGACUAGUUGGAUUGGAAAAACUACCAACAGCUUAAAUUAAGAUAGAUGUCUUAUGACAAAGGCUCUAAACCACAAGGCUAAAAAACUAUCUUUGUCUCUAAACCAUAAAAGGCUUAAAAGUAGACAAAGACUAUGAGUUGAAUGGGUUGGUUUACGGUUUGUUGGAUGGAAAGAAAAAACGACCAACAGCUGAAAUAAGCUUAAGACACAAGUCUGAAACAAAAAGUCUUUUACACAAAAGACAAUAUGGGGGUUGCUUGGAAAAGGGGUGCAUGGUGGAACAAAAGAGUUCAAACGGCUUAAAGAAGUCUUAAAAAAGGCUCUUGGCUAAGACAAAAAGGGGUCGGUUUUGAGAUAUGGUGGAUGGAAAAAUGACCAGCUGUUUAGGGGAAAACGACCUAUUUCCCCACCGUAACUAUGGCAUAGUAAUAAAUGUACACAAAGUUUAAGCCUCGUCCCAGUUGCACACAUACCAACUAUAACAACGCCUUUCCACAUACGAGAAAAGAUCGAAACCCGUUUCCCCCUCAACUUUGAAAAUCAGACUAAUACCGACAUAUCAUGGUUAAUAGUUGGUUAGUGUUUCUAAAACCCAGACUUAACCAAUGACUAACCUAUCUUAACCAAAAACAACCCGAUUAUCACCCGAUUAGAGAAUUAAAACCCAAUUAAAUCCCCAUAUAUCAAUCCAUGACCCGAUUAAUCAAAUUAGAAACCCUAAAACAUCAACCCCUCUCUUUGGCGAAGAAGAAGGUCUCUGAUUGUCUCUGAUUGUCUCCAGUUAGGUAUCAACAAUGGAGCCGUGGUCUGAUGUGAAUGUAGAGUGGAAUGAUGUACCUUCUUUUGAUCCGGGGACACCUGAUUCUCCUGAUAUUGACUCUGAUGGUGAAGAUAGAAGAGAGCGCAACGACUACAACAUUGAGAAGGAUGCCAUGAACUUUGUUGAUGAGCCUCCAGUAAAGCUUAACCUGUAUCCAGAGACAGAAUCAGAUGAAGAGGCAGACGUGGAAGAGAAUCAGAGAAAAGAGGUUCAAAGAACUAUCCCCACACAUCCUAAAACAACAAGCACCAGCGCCUUCUUCACCUCGCUUUUGACUUCAUUCACAACAUCUUCCAUUCUUGCAGAAAUCUCGGUCUCUAACUUCAAUCCAAACUCUUCAAACUUUGUCUUCUCUUCUUGGGCAUCCCUUUCUUCUUCCACACGACCAGUCAACAUGCCCUGUUCAAGUCUCCCUAUCCUAAACGACAAUGCUUCAACCUCAUCCAACAAAGCCUCAUCAACCCAUUUGUAACUGUGAUUAUCAUUACUCAGCUACAAACAUAGAAAAAUUGAUUCAUCCACACAUUUUGAACAAUCACAUUUUGAACAAUCACAUUUGUAACUGUAAUUAUAAACAAACUAACCCUUUUCUCUGCCGCAAAAGCACAACGAAAGUAUCUCCUGUAAGGAUUUGGCUUCGAAUUUGACAUCAAGGGGAUAACUAAUUCUCCACACCAACAUCUCUUCGGAACACCAACAACACGACCUCUUGCUCAACCCGUAGAGACUCCACUCGAAUUUCCCGAUUCAUGACUCAUACUUUCUGGGUCUGGGCAAACGGAAUCUCUCUCUGAAUUUUUAGGUUUUAGGGUUCUAAAGACAUGAAUUCGAUUUUGGGGGUUUUAAAGGGGUUUCAGGUCGGGUUUAAAUCGUUUCUUACUCGGAUCUUUAUCUGGGUCGAAGUGUACCAAUACGAACCGGUUUACUAUCGGUUCAUGUAAUAAACCAUGAAAACCAACUUAAAUCUUGGUCUGUGGGGAAACGGGUUUUGAUCUUUUCUCGUAUGUGGAAAGACGUUGUUAUAGUUGGUCUGUGUGCAAUUGGGACGAGGCUUAAACUUUGUGUACAUUUAUUACUAUGCCAUAGUUACGGUGGGGAAAUAGGUCGUUUUCCCGCUGUUUAGUCAAAAAGUCCAUAGAUGAAAAAAAAAGACAUGCAAAAGAAGACUUGUAGGAUGGAAAAUAAAAGAAAACGACCAUCAGCUUGAUGAAGAAGUCUUGGAACAAAGACUAUGAACCACAAGGUUGUCUGCUUGAUAAAUACAAGGCCUAAAAGUAUACAAAGACUAUGAGUUGGAUGGGUAUAAUGACCAACUCUUAAGACAAAGGAAGAAUGACAAAUUAUCUGAAAUCAGUCUUAACAUAAAGACUAGCUUGGCUUAGGAUUUGUUGGAUGAAAAAAAAAACGACUACCGACCUGAGACAAAGUCUGAAAAGCUCGCAAGACAAACACUAUGAUGAGGUUGUUUGUAAUUUGGUGGAGAAAGAACAAUUUAAGACAGCUGAUACAAAAGUGGCUCUGAAGAGUCUUUUGACAAAGGCUGCCAACGGCUUAACGAAUCAUAACACACAGAUUCUAAACAAGGACUAUGAAUCGAAAAGAGAUUCUUAACUCUAGACAAAGACAAUAUGGGUCCGUCCGUUAAUAGAUAUGUUGGAUAGAAACAUUGACCAGCGGCUUAGACGUUUAAAAGGUCAUUAGAUGAAUAAAAACGACUAAUGGCUGAGAGAAUACUUGUUUUUAAAAGUCACAAAGACAGACCAAAAAGCUUAAAAGUAGACGAAGACUAUAUGUUGGAUGUAUAGAAUCACCAACUGUCUCUAAGUAGUCUAAAGACUGAUAUGAAAUGAAAACUUCCACGGCUAUGGAAACUCUCUAAACAGUCUUUCGAGAAAUGUCUCACAGCUUAGAAAAGUCUUUCCAGAAAGACUUGCAUCCAAUUAAGACUUGUUGGAUGGCAAAACAACUUAUAAACUGCCACCCAUCGGCUUAAAGAAACCAACUGCUUAGAGAUUCUUGACAACGAAUAUGAGUCAAACACGGAUUCAUAUUUAACCACCCGACUUAGAAGUCUCUUGAGAAAGUCUAUGCCAUAGACUUGUUGGAUGGUAGAAAUCAACUAACGAAUUGCUAUAUUAAUAAAGACCACCAACGGCUCUAAAAAAAUCAUAAAGCAAAGCUUCAUGACAAACAGGUUCUUGUGUGAGCACAUGGCUUAAGGUUUCAUCUGAAAAAGACUAUGGCUUGGUUUUGGUGCUUGGUUUUGGUAUAGUAACCAAUAGCUUUAAAAUGUCUCAAGAGUCAAGACAAAGACUAUAGAUGGAAAAACAACCUACGGCUCAAAUGAAAUAAAAUUCUCAUGACUGAGACGAGACUAUGGAUGGGGAGAACUGAUUCUUUACUCUGCCAGACCACUUCCAAUAGAAAGUCCCAACACACAGACUAUGAACCACAAUAUGGAAAUAAUGGCCAACUCAUACUCUGAAAUAAUUCUUAAACAAAGACUACCAUUUACCAGUGGCUUAAAGAAUCAUAACGCAAAGAUUCUUACUUAACGGCUUAAAUAAGACUUGUACGAUGGAGAAGGCGACCGAUAGCUUAAAGAUGUUUUAGGAGAAGACUCUGAAAAAUUCCAUAGAUGGGAAAAAUGGUUAAUAACUUAAGACUUGUUUAUUUGGGGAAAAACACACACAAGCAAUGGCUUAAAUAUGUUUUAAGACAAAGACUCUGAAUCACGAGCAAACAAACUAUUGAGUUGGAUGGACAUGAUGACCAAAUCAUAAUACAAAGACAAUGGAAGAAUGAAAAAUUAUCUGAAAUCUUGAGACAAAGACUAGAGCUUGGUUUACAUUUUGUUGGAUGGGAAAAACAAACGACCAACAGCUUAAGAAAAAGUAUGAAAGAAGCUCUUAAGAAAAAAACCAUAUCCGGAAUCAGUCUUGAAGACAUAGCUGAUACGAAAACAGACUCACGAUUUGGAAAGUCACACGGCU